rnacentral:lncRNA from 1 species
CGUCUCCCCAGGGCCCCUCCUGGCCGGGCAGCCGGGUGGGGCAGCAGGAUGGGCUGGACCCUGAAGGGCAUGGUGCCUCCAGAAGCUCCAGCUUCAGCCCCAGGACUCCUCCGAGCUGCCACCCGCCCUCCCAGCCCUCCCGACCAGGGUCUGAAGGGAUAGCGAAUUGCUGCAGCCUGGUCUGUGGGUAAUCUGCUCCUUUGUGGAAGUGCUGUGGCUCUUAAAAGCCCCGGUGAAUGCCCUUAAGGGAACGCGAUAACGCUGACGGGGAAAAUCGAGAGCCCCGUUCUCCUCCCAGGUCUGCGUUUGCGCAAGCGCGUGCGGCGCCGGGCAGUGUGGAUGUCCCGGAAGUCUUCCGCUCAGUCCGCCGCUGGACGCAGCUCGGCCCGCGGGCUGGAGGGUCGGUCCCACGGAGCACGCCGAGGCCCAGGGGACAGCGGGCCCGGGGUGCCCUUCCCUGCGGCGCCUGGUUGGGGCAGACCCGGGGGCGCCCGUCCCUCUGCCCACUUAGGUUCUUUCUGCUCUGUGAUAACGCCCUCCCCCGAUGGAUGAGAAAACCAGCUGGAAGCUCAGGCUCCAAGCUGACAUCUUUUUAAACAUUGUAUGGACACCUGCUGUGUGAUCCAGACGUUCCUCUGCGAGGGGAAGGGCCCACGUACAUGGAGCUGGGCCUGGAGGUGCAUCACGGCCUUAACAGCCCGGAGCCAACACAGCCCCGACGUCCAUCAGCCGAGCGCACAGAUGAGCCUGGCGAGUCCAAACGUGGACACCUCUCACUGAAAAACAGCACACUGCGCUGUCUUCUGGCCCAGAUGGAUGUGAGGAGGAUGUGCACUCUACUGUUGCGUGGAAUGUUCCAGACAUGUCCUUGGAGAAAGUCAACUGAUGGUCUUCAUGUUGAACUGUAUCCUCCCUGGCUUCCUGACUGCUUGUCCAUCAGUUACCAGAAGAGGGCUGUUCAAGUCUCAGAGGUGAACCUGCGCUUGCCCGUUUCCCCUCGCCAUCCUGCUGGUCUCUGCUCACCUCGGCUCUUUGAUGCUCUGUGGUUUGGGAGGCAGGGAAGGCUCUUCCAAGGCUGAGACUGUAGAAGUUAUGGGGAAGUUGCACUCACCCGGCCGCUGCUCCGUCCCACUACCAGCAAAUCCCUCUCUUAGUGGCGGGUCACCUGUGCGGAACAGUGGGCAGGGAGGAGUCUGCCUGUAGAGCUGAGUUAUUCCCCCCAGCAGUCUCCGCCCCCCUGCCCCCCAUAGAGGGUUAGUGUUGUCUCCUUCUGAGUGUCCCGGCCAUCUCUCCAGCCUGAAUCCUCAUGUAUGGAAAAGGCAGUCGGCAGGUAGCUUGGGUGAGAAAUAACCUUCUCUGUGAGCCAUAAGGGUCUGAGGUCACUGCUAUCCCAGCUGGCACAGACUGGCGCCUUGAUUCGGGUGCUGCACCCACAAACCCCAAAGCUGUGGCGUUGGCUCUGGGGUUGGUGGGGCUGUGUGAAACCUUGCCCAGACUGGUUCCGCGAGGCUCCGGAAAGCAGAGGUGGAGGCUGUGGAUGUAGGCCCAGAGGUUUGGGGACCAAGUGAGACCACAGGGCCUUGAUGGCUGCAAGGGCUGCGGGUCCUCAGGCGGCAGGAAGCAGAGGGCAGGCAGGUGGAAGCUGGUUUGCGAGCAGUGUGGAAAGGACGGGCCCACCUCGCUUUGCUGCUCUCCGCAGCUGCUGCGUUUUCUGCAGAUUGGGGGGUUUUGGCCACAGCGCGUUGCUCAAGUCUGUGCCGCUUUUUCCUUAGCAUUUGCUCACUUUGUGUCCCCGCAUCUCAGUUUUAAAUUCCUGCAGCGUUCCAAAUGCCCUUCAAUGUUUUCCUAUUUAUUACCAUGCUCAGUGAUCUUUGAUGUUUCUGUUAACACUACGAUUCACCGAAGGCUCAGACAGUGGUUAGCAUCUUUUAGCAAUAAAAUAUUUUAAAUUAAGGCA